GCCCCGCCCCCAGCGCGCGCGGUCUGACGUCACUUCCGCCGGCGACCCCCUCCAGACCCGCUCCCGAAACCCUGUCAAAGGACCAAAGGCGACCCGUGCAGGUGCACGACGCCAGCUCCCUUCUUGGGGGCGGGGGCCUGGGGGCUGCCAUGGCCCCCAGCCACCUGUCAGUGCGGGAGAUGAGGGAGGAUGAGAAGCCCCUGGUGCUGGAGAUGCUGAAGGCCGGCGUGAAGGACACGGAAAACCGCGUGGCCCUCCAUGCCUUGACACGGCCGCCGGCCCUGCUCCUCCUGGCGGCGGCCAG